CCUUCCCCCAGAACUCCCCAGACAGGAUGACACAGGCUCCCCAAGGCAGGGCUGGAGCCUUUCUUGCUUACCUGCCAAAGCGAUUAACAAAGAGGCCGACAGAGAAGGAACCAAUCAUGCCCCCGACAGAGAAGAUGGCCACGGAGAGAGACCAAAGCGUGGUUCAGUUUCUCCGGACGAAAAGAGGACUGGGCUCUCCCCCUCUCCUAAGGUGGUCAAGACUCUGAGGAUGGUGGCCAAGGAGGACAGAGCAGCAAGGCACAGGGAAGAAAAUGCUCC
rnacentral:lncRNA from 1 species